UAGGGAAUCUUCCGCAAUGGGCGAAAGCCUGACGGAGCAACGCCGCGUGAGUGAUGAAGGUCUUCGGUUCGUAAAACUCUGUUAUUAGGGAAGAACAAAUGUGUAAGUAACUAUGCACGUCUUGACGGUACCUAAUCAGAAAGCCACGGCUAACUACGUGCCAGCAGCCGCGGUAAUACGUAGGUGGCAAGCGUUAUCCGGAAUUAUUGGGCGUAAAGCGCGCGUAGGCGGUUUUUUAAGUCUGAUGUGAAAGCCCACGGCUCAACCGUGGAGGGUCAUUGGAAACUGGAAAACUUGAGUGCAGAAGAGGAAAGUGGAAUUCAAUGUGUAGCGGUGAAAUGCGCAGAGAUAUGGAGGAACAACAGUGGCGAAGGCGACUUUCUGGUCUGUAACUGACGCUGAUGUGCGAAAGCGUGGGGAUCAAACAGG
rnacentral:rRNA from 1 species